rnacentral:tRNA from 1 species
GGGUUCAUAGCUCAGCCUGGUCAGAGCGCUCGCCUCUUAACUUUGGAAGAAAGCGAGAUGUCGGGGGUUCGAAUCCCCCUGGACCCA